rnacentral:ribozyme from 13 species
UUUUUUAUUUUUUUCACUUUUAUUAUUUGUACAAUUUUUCACAACACAAAAGAGAGAAGAACAAGAAGAUCAGCUAUGAAAAGAAAACCGCCAACUAUCGUAACGAUCUUCUUCUUUCCUCCACAUUUCCCAAAGAGCGAAAAGAUAA